ACAACCUUAGUUGGGGUAGAAAACAUAAAAUAAACACCAAACUCCCUCAAAAAAAGGAAAAAGAAAAGACAUCAUGUGUGAAAAGCAGUGACCAGGUUCAAUGAACCUUAAAAAGGCAGGCUCAUGUCCUUGCCUAUUAUUACUAUGCACCAACACCUUCAACAAAGCCUCAUAUUCCAAGCUGCUGUCUGUCUGAAUUCCCUUUCUGUCUAAUGAGGAGAAGAGAAGAUUAAAAUAAGAGGAUCUGGCGCCAUGGCUACUGGCGAUGAACCUGUUGAAGAAGAAAAUGGUGCCACGUCAGCAGAAGCCUACGUUUCGGAGAAAUAAUGAGAUACAUAUAUAUAUAUAUAUAUUAUUUUGAUGUCAAAUUGACAUAAUAUCUAUAUAUGUAUUGUUGAGUUCCCCUGCAAAACUUCACUUUGAUUACUAUAUAUUAUUAUUUAUUAUCGUUUAUUAUGUUGUA